GGAGUGAAGCUGCGCUCUGCUCUACUGGAGGAUCCACACUGUAAACUGAAGAAACUACUUAUUUGACAGUGGAAACUCCACAAGCUCCAAACAACUCAAUCAAAACAACACGUCUUGAACAAGACUGUCACCUGGACAUUAAAAUGCAUAAUUUCAGUUAGGGUGAAGAAAAGCUUUUUGUUUUUCUUCUAAGGCCACAAGAGGGCGCAUCGAGCAAAAUAUUACUAAUACACGUUUAUUCAAAGCAUAAGAAAACAUGACUGUAACCCACCAUAAAUUCUUGAGAUAUGUUUUUAAAAUGUUGAACUUAGAUUAAUUUUACAUGGCUAUCUAAACAUGUGGCUCUGUUGUGCAAUAUCCUGAUAAUUCACCUCCAGAGGACGAGAGAAGCUGUUGCUGAGAUCAGAAACACUGACGGAUGAGAUUCAACUCUUUCCUUCGUACCAGCAGAGAGUCGCCUCUGUCACAUUCAUCACUGAACACAGCAGGAUGAACACAUUUCCAGCUCCAUGAUUGUUCAGAGUUUCUGACAAUAGUGAGAAUGGACAGAGGAGCUGGAAACACAUGAGAAUAAACAGAAAUAUUACUGAGAGGAAGAUCAAGAUGAAAUACAGGUGGUAAAGUGUGUCUAUGCAGCAGCAAAUCUGAAUGUAGAGUUUAAUAAUGAACUGAAUACAACAAUACUAGUCAAUAUAUCAGUGUCUAAUAAACAUUUGCAGUCAAAACUA